UAAUUUGAGAGUUUGAUCCUGGCUCAGGACGAACGCUGGCGGCGUGCCUAAUACAUGCAAGUCGAACGAACUCUGGUAUUGAUUGGUGCUUGCAUCAUGAUUUACAUUUGAGUGAGUGGCGAACUGGUGAGUAACACGUGGGAAACCUGCCCAGAAGCGGGGGAUAACACCUGGAAACAGAUGCUAAUACCGCAUAACAACUUGGACCGCAUGGUCCGAGUUUGAAAGAUGGCUUCGGCUAUCACUUUUGGAUGGUCCCGCGGCGUAUUAGCUAGAUGGUGGGGUAACGGCUCACCAUGGCAAUGAUACGUAGCCGACCUGAGAGGGUAAUCGGCCACAUUGGGACUGAGACACGGCCCAAACUCCUACGGGAGGCAGCAGUAGGGAAUCUUCCACAAUGGACGAAAGUCUGAUGGAGCAACGCCGCGUGAGUGAAGAAGGGUUUCGGCUCGUAAAACUCUGUUGUUGAAGAAGAACAUAUCUGAGAGUAACUGUUCAGGUAUUGACGGUAUUUAACCAGAAAGCCACGGCUAACUACGUGCCAGCAGCCGCGGUAAUACGUAGGUGGCAAGCGUUGUCCGGAUUUAUUGGGCGUAAAGCGAGCGCAGGCGGUUUUUUAAGUCUGAUGUGAAAGCCUUCGGCUCAACCGAAGAAGUGCAUCGGAAACUGGGAAACUUGAGUGCAGAAGAGGACAGUGGAACUCCAUGUGUAGCGGUGAAAUGCGUAGAUAUAUGGAAGAACACCAGUGGCGAAGGCGGCUGUCUGGUCUGUAACUGACGCUGAGGCUCGAAAGUAUGGGUAGCAAACAGGAUUAGAUACCCUGGUAGUCCAUACCGUAAACGAUGAAUGCUAAGUGUUGGAGGGUUUCCGCUCUUCAGUGCUGCAGCUAACGCAUUAAGCAUUCCGCCUGGGGAGUACGGCCGCAAGGCUGAAACUCAAAGGAAUUGACGGGGGCCCGCACAAGCGGUGGAGCAUGUGGUUUAAUUCGAAGCUACGCGAAGAACCUUACCAGGUCUUGACAUACUAUGCAAAUCUAAGAGAUUAGACGUUCCCUUCGGGGACAUGGAUACAGGUGGUGCAUGGUUGUCGUCAGCUCGUGUCGUGAGAUGUUGGGUUAAGUCCCGCAACGAGCGCAACCCUUAUUAUCAGUUGCCAGCAUUAAGUUGGGCACUCUGGUGAGACUGCCGGUGACAAACCGGAGGAAGGUGGGGAUGACGUCAAAUCAUCAUGCCCCUUAUGACCUGGGCUACACACGUGCUACAAUGGAUGGUACAACGAGUUGCGAACUCGCGAGAGUAAGCUAAUCUCUUAAAGCCAUUCUCAGUUCGGAUUGUAGGCUGCAACUCGCCUACAUGAAGUCGGAAUCGCUAGUAAUCGCGGAUCAGCAUGCCGCGGUGAAUACGUUCCCGGGCCUUGUACACACCGCCCGUCACACCAUGAGAGUUUGUAACACCCAAAGUCGGUGGGGUAACCUUUUAGGAACCAGCCGCCUAAGGUGGGACAGAUGAUUAGGGUGAAGUCGUAACAAGGUAGCCGUAGGAGAACCUGCGGCUGGAUCACCUCCUUU
rnacentral:rRNA from 1 species